GCCGAAUGUUAAAAACUCCUCUUAAGGUGAAGGUAGAAAGUAUGUGUGAGCUGAUGUGGAUGUGAAUUCAGCAGCAUGGAUCAUUGUGAGGAUAGAGAGGAGGGAGUCCCUCCCUCUAAAACCACUCUGUGUAGGGAACAUGAGAGCCAGACCAAAGCUCAGAGGAACCAACCUGGACCUCCACCCAGCUCUGUGUCCUUAAUGAGUGAUGAGUUAAAGGGCGAUGGUCCUCCUGCAGAGAGGUCAGAGAUGGAGAAGCCCUUACCAGUGCAGCUGCUGGAAAUGUUGAAAGAAAUGGGAGAAGAGGAGCUGAAGCAUUUCCACUUUUACCUGCAGUAUGAACCUGGAGGUGACUUCCCCAAAAUCUAUAGGUGCCAGCUGGAGAACGCAGACAGACUGAAAACAGUAGAUGUGAUGGUGCAGGCGUAUUCAGACUGUGUGAUGGAGGUGGCAAAGUUGAUUUUAAAAAAGAUAAAUGAAG
ensembl:lncRNA